rnacentral:rRNA from 1 species
UACGUAGGUGGCAAGCGUUGUCCGGAAUUAUUGGGCGUAAAGCGCGCGCAGGCGGUUUCUUAAGUCUGAUGUGAAAGCCCACGGCUCAACCGUGGAGGGUCAUUGGAAACUGGGGAACUUGAGUGCAGAAGAGAAGAGCGGAAUUCCACGUGUAGCGGUGAAAUGCGUAGAGAUGUGGAGGAACACCAGUGGCGAAGGCGGCUCUUUGGUCUGUAACCGACGCUGAGGCGCGAAAGCGUGGGGAGCAAACAGG